rnacentral:rRNA from 1 species
UACGGAGGCAGCAGUAGGGAAUUUUCGGCAAUGGGGGGAACCCUGACCGAGCAACGCCGCGUGAGUGAAGACGGCCUUCGGGUUGUAAAGCUCUGUUGUAAGAAAAGAUAAACUAGGAGAGGAUCUUAGUCAGACAUUAUCUUACCAGAAAGCCACGGCUAACUACGUGCCAGCAGCCGCGGUAAU